CACGUGGGCAACCUGCCCUUUGCACUGGGAUAGCCUCGGGAAACCGAGGUUAAUACCGGAUACUCCAUAUUUGUCGCAUGGCGAAUAUGGGAAAGCUCCGGCGGCAAAGGAUGGGCCCGCGGCCUGUUAGCUAGUUGGUGGGGUAGUGGCCUACCAAGGCAAUGAUGGGUAGCCGGGUUGAGAGACCGACCGGCCAGAUUGGGACUGAGACACGGCCCAGACUCCUACGGGAGGCAGCAGUGGGGAAUCUUGCACAAUGGGCGAAAGCCUGAUGCAGCGACGCCGCGUGCGGGAUGAAGGCCUUCGGGUUGUAAACCGCUUUCAGCAGGGACGAGGCCGCAAGGUGACGGUACCUGCAGAAGAAGCCCCCGGGCUAACUACGUGCCAGCAGCCGCGGUAAA
rnacentral:rRNA from 1 species